AACGUAGGAGACAAACGUUAUCCGGAGUUACUGGGCGUAAAGGGCGUGCAGGCGGUCGACUAAGUCUGGCGUGAAAGCUCUCGGCUAAACCGGGAGAGGUCGUUGGAUACUGGUUGACUAGAGGACGGUAGAGGCGUGUGGAAUUCCGGGUGUAGUGGUGAAAUGCGUAGAGAUCCGGAGGAACACCAGUGGCGAAGGCGACACGCUGGGCCGUACCUGACGCUGAGACGCGAAAGCGUGGGGAGCGAACAGG
rnacentral:rRNA from 1 species